UACAGAGGGGGCAAGCGUUAUUCGGAAUUAUUGGGCGUAAAGGGCGCGUAGGCGGCUUGGCAAGUGGAAGGUGAAAUCCCUCGGCUUAACCGAGGAACUGCCCUCCAAACUGCUUUGCUUGAGGCCGGGAGAGGUGAGUGGAAUUCCGAGUGUAGAGGUGAAAUUCGUAGAUAUUCGGAAGAACACCAGUGGCGAAGGCGGCUCACUGGACUGGUAUUGACGCUGAGGUGCGAAAGCGUGGGUAGCAAACAGG
rnacentral:rRNA from 1 species